UGAGUAUUCCUGAUUGCAUAGC
rnacentral:miRNA from 2 species